rnacentral:rRNA from 1 species
AACGAACGCUGGCGGCAUGCCUAACACAUGCAAGUCGAACGAGACCUUCGGGUCUAGUGGCGCACGGGUGCGUAACGCGUGGGAAUCUGCCCUUGGGUUCGGGAUAACAGUUGGAAACGACUGCUAAUACCGGAUGAUGUCUUCGGACCAAAGAUUUAUCGCCCAAGGAUGAGCCCGCGUAGGAUUAGCUUGUUGGUGAGGUAAGAGCUCACCAAGGCGACGAUCCUUAGCUGGUCUGAGAGGAUGAUCAGCCACACUGGGACUGAGACACGGCCCAGACUCCUACGGGAGGCAGCAGUGGGGAAUAUUGGACAAUGGGCGAAAGCCUGAUCCAGCAAUGCCGCGUGAGUGAUGAAGGCCUUAGGGUUGUAAAGCUCUUUUACCCGGGAUGAUAAUGACAGUACCGGGAGAAUAAGCCCCGGCUAACUCCGUGCCAGCAGCAGCCGCCG